rnacentral:sRNA from 1 species
GCCAGACAUGGUGGUGCAUGCCUGUAAUCCAAGCAGCUUGGGAGGCUGAGACAGGAGAUUUGCCAGUUCAAAGCCAACUUCAGCAACAUCGAGGCACUAAGCAACUCAAUGAGACCCUGUCUCUA